CAAAGGACACAUACACAACGAUUCAUAAAAAGCGUUGGAAAGAUUCAAACAACAAUUCCUAUUCCGCAGCAUUGGGUUCUCGUCUCUAACAAUGUCACAUCCAUUCAAUCAGAUCAACGUCAACCCAUUCAAUCAAUUGAUCGAACAAUUGAUGAUCAACGGUCACAGACUUGAGAACAAUUGCCGAUUUGUUGAUGUCUUUUGGGGGGCAUUUCGUAACUCUAUUUUUCCCCAAAUUCUGGAAUUUUACAUCUCGGACUAGGGAUUUGCUAAUCUGUCAAUGCCAUGGAUGUAUAGAUGAAGAAUUGAAUUUGAUGUAGUCUGAGAUUCUUCCUUGAAUAGUAGAUAUGAGCACUCCAGUAAAUAUCAUUGUAGGUUCUCAUGUAUGGAUUGAGGAUCAAUCAGUUGCUUGGAUUGAUGGACAAGUGUCACAGAUUAAUGGACAGGAUGUUCAGGUCCAGACAUCUGAUGGGAGGACGGUUACAGCAAAUUUAUCAAAAAUAUAUCCCAAAGAUGAAGAUGCUCCUGCCGGCGGAGUCGAUGACAUGACCAAGUUAUCAUAUUUGCAUGAGCCUGGCGUUUUGCAGAAUUUGGCUGCAAGAUAUCAACUCAAUGAAAUCUAUACUUAUACUGGAAGUAUUCUCAUCGCCAUCAAUCCAUUCCAAAGGCUGCCCCAUCUAUACGAUCGCCACAUGAUGGAACAAUACAAGGGAGCUCCGCUUGGCGAACUAAGUCCUCACGUCUUUGCUAUUGCUGAUGCCGCUUACAGGCAAAUGAUCAAUGAAGGUAAAAGCAAUUCUAUAUUGGUCAGUGGUGAAAGUGGGGCUGGUAAGACUGAAACUACUAAAAUGCUUAUGCAAUACCUUGCUUAUUUGGGUGGCCGUAAAGGCACUGAAGGGCGAACUGUCGAGCAGCAAGUUCUAGAGUCAAAUCCAGUACUUGAAGCGUUUGGCAAUGCCAAAACAGUUAGAAAUAACAAUUCAAGUCGUUUUGGUAAAUUUGUGGAGAUUCAGUUUGACAAAAGUGGAAGAAUAUCUGGUGCAGCUAUUAGAACUUACCUCCUUGAAAGAUCUCGUGUUUGCCAAGUUUCAGAUCCUGAACGCAACUAUCAUUGUUUCUACCUUCUAUGUGCAGCACCCCAGGAGGAGGUUGAAAAGUAUAAGUUGGGGAAUCCUAAAUCAUUUCACUAUCUUAAUCAAUCGAAUUGCUACGAACUAGUUGGUGUAAGUGAUGCUCAAGAUUAUCUUGCAACAAGGAGGGCCAUGGAUAUUGUUGGCAUUAGUGAGAAAGAGCAGGAAGCAAUUUUUAGAGUAGUGGCUUCUGUUCUUCAUCUUGGUAAUAUUAACUUUUCAAAGGGCCAAGAAAUUGACUCAUCAGUUUUAAAAGAUGACAAAUCUAAGUUCCAUCUUCAGACUGUUGCUGAGCUUCUGGCGUGUGAUCUUAAUGAUUUGGAAGAUGCGCUAUUGAAACGUGUAAUGGUCACACCUGAAGAAGUUAUAAAGAGAAGUCUUGAUCCUAAUGCUGCAGCAGUUAGUAGAGAUGGGCUUGCUAAAACGAUAUAUUCUCGCUUAUUUGACUGGUUGGUGGACAAAAUAAAUAACUCGAUUGGUCAAGAUCCGAACUCAAAAUCUCUAAUUGGUGUUCUUGACAUUUAUGGUUUUGAAAGUUUUAAACUUAAUAGUUUUGAACAAUUCUGCAUUAAUUUCACAAAUGAGAAGCUGCAGCAACAUUUUAACCAGCACGUGUUCAAGAUGGAGCAGGAGGAAUACACUAAAGAAGAAAUUGAUUGGAGCUACAUAGAAUUUGUGGACAAUCAAGAUGUUCUGGAUCUUAUUGAAAAGAAACCUGGAGGUAUCAUCGCUCUUCUUGAUGAAGCCUGUAUGUUCCCCAAAUCAACUCAUGAAACAUUCUCUCAGAAGCUUUAUCAGACAUUCAAGUCCCACAAACGAUUUGUCAAACCAAAACUGUCUCGCACUGAUUUUACCAUUGCCCAUUAUGCUGGAGAGGUUCAAUACCAGUCUGAUCAAUUCUUGGAUAAGAACAAAGACUAUGUUGUUCCUGAGCAUCAAGAUUUGUUGAGUGCUUCCAAAUGCUCAUUUGUAGCUGGCCUCUUCCCUCCUGUUGCGGAGGAGGCAACUAAAUCAUCAGCCAAAUCGUCGAAGUUCUCAUCCAUCGGUUCUCGUUUUAAGUUACAACUUACAUCAUUGAUGGAAACUCUGAAUUCUACGGAACCUCAUUACAUCAGAUGUGUGAAGCCCAACAACCAACUGAAACCUGCAAUUUUUGAGAAUGUUAACAUAUUACAGCAACUGCGUUGUGGUGGUGUUCUAGAAGCAAUUAGAAUUAGCUGUGCUGGUUACCCUACCCGUAAGACAUUCUUUGAGUUUCUAAACCGAUUUGGUCUUCUUGCUCCAGAGGUCUUGGAAGGACAUGCCGAUGAAAAAGUUGCAUGCACAAAGAUUCUGGAAAAGAUGGGGCUCGCUGGCUCUCAGAUCGGAAAAACGAAAGUUUUUCUCAGAGCUGGUCAGAUGGCUGAGCUGGAUGCACGCAGAGCACAGAAACUAGCCACUGCAGCUAAGACAAUCCAAAGGAAAAUUAGAACUCAUAUCGCUCGGAAAUACUUUCUUGCUUUGCAGAAGGCUGCAAUUUGCUUACAAUCCUCAUGCCGAGGAAGGCUUGCUUGCAAAUUGUAUGACAAUAUGAAAAGACAAGCUGCUUCUAUCAGAAUCCAGACAAAAUUGCGCGGACACUUGGCCCGAAAGUCCUAUACUAGACUCAAAAUCAAUGUCAUUGCUCUUCAGACAGGAAUUCGAGCGACAGCUGCACGAAAGGAAUUCAGAUAUAAAAGACAAACUAAAGCAGCAAUUAUUAUACAAGCACAUUGGCAUGGACACAGAGCCUUUUCAUACUACAAGAAACUCAUAAUUGCAUCAAUUGUAACACAAUGCAGAUGGAGAGGAAGGGUUGCAAAGAAAGAGCUUCGGAAACUAAAGAUGGCUGCAAGAGAAACGGGUGCACUAAAAGAAGCAAAGGAUAAGCUUGAAAAACAGGUUGAAGAACUUACAUGGCGUCUGCAGUUGGAGAAACGUCUAAGGACGGACUUGGAAGAAGCAAAGGGCCAGGAAAUAGCAAAGCUGAAGAAUUCCUUGGAAGAAGUGCAAAGCAAAGUGGAUCAAACCAAUGCGCUGCUCGUCAAGGAACGUGAGACUGCUCAGAAAGCAAUUGAAGAAGCCACCUCGAUCGUGGAAGAGAAGCCGGUUCUUGUCGAGGAUACAGAAAAGAUUGAUGCUUUAAAUGCAGAAGUGGAAACUUUAAAGGUAUUAUUGCAAUCGGAAAAGCAACGUGCUGAUGAUUCUGAGAGGAAAUGUGCUGAAGCUCAAGAAUCAAGUGAAGAAAAGCACAAGAAGUUGGAAGAAACUGAAAAAAAAGUACAACAACUUCAGGAAUCAGUGAGCAGGCUUGAAGAAAAGCUCACCAACUUAGAGUCGGAAAAUAAAGUACUUCGCCAGCAGGCUCUGACAAUGGCACAGAAUAAUAAAUUGCUGUCUGGACGAUCAAGAUCGAGUAUUCAGAGGACCGAGAGCACAAGAAGUAGUAACGUAGAUCUGCAUAGCACUUCAUUUUCAAGGGAAAGUUCCGAGGUCGAGGGAAGACCACAGAAAUCACUUAAUGAUAAACAACAGGAGUAUCAGGACUUGCUCAUCCGGUGUAUUGCACAGCACCUUGGCUUCUCUAAGGGCAGACCUGUUGCGGCCUGCAUUAUUUACAAGUGCCUUAGGCAGUGGCGAUCGUUCGAAGUUGAGCGAACCAGUAUCUUUGACAGGGUAAUACAAACCAUUGGUCAAGCUAUUGAGACUCAGGACAACAAUGAUAUGUUAGCCUAUUGGCUAUCCAAUGCAUCUACUUUGUUGCUUCUGCUGCAACGUACGUUGAAAGCUGGUGGUGCUGCUGGGAUGACCCCACAGCACAGGCGAUCGUCAUCAGCCUCUCUAUUCGGGAGAAUGACACAGAGCUUUCGUGGAACCCCUCAAGGUGUCAAUCUUUCUCUCAUUGAUGGUGAUUCGGCUGGUGGAGCGGAUAGCUUGCGCCAAGUUGAAGCCAAAUAUCCCGCUUUGUUGUUUAAACAGCAGCUAACAGCAUAUGUGGAAAAGAUUUAUGGAAUGAUCCGUGAUAAUCUUAAGAAAGAGAUUUCUCCACUGCUGGGGUUGUGCAUUCAGGCACCAAGAAUAUCCAGAGCAGGUUUACUUAAAGGGUCAACAGCACGUACACUUGCAAAUGCUGCUGCUCAGGAAAUUUUGAUCGCUCACUGGCAAGGAAUUGUCAAGAGCCUUGCUAACUUUUUGAACAUAUUGAAAGCCAAUCAUGUGCCUCCAUUUCUUGUACGCAAAGUAUUUACUCAAGUCUUUUCUUUCAUCAAUGUCCAAUUAUUUAACAGCCUUCUGCUGAGAAGAGAAUGCUGUUCAUUUAGCAACGGUGAGUAUGUAAAAACUGGCUUGGCAGAACUGGAACACUGGUGCUACAAAGCAACUGAUGAGUAUGCAGGACUAGCUUGGGAGGAGCUCAAACAUAUAAGACAGGCAAUUGGAUUUUUGGUCAUACACCAGAAGCCAAAGAAGACAUUGGAUGAAAUAAGCCACGAUCUCUGUCCUGUGCUUAGCAUUCAACAACUUUACAGAAUCAGCACAAUGUAUUGGGAUGACAAAUAUGGCACACAUAGCCUUUCGCCAGAUGUUAUAUCCAAUAUGCGUGUAUUAAUGACUGAAGACUCUAACAAUGCAGUCAGCAAUUCUUUUUUGCUUGAUGAUGAUUCAAGCAUACCGUUCUCAAUUGAUGACCUCUCUAAAUCAAUGGAUCAGAUUGAUAUUGCAGACAUCGAACCACCCCCACUUAUUCGAGAAAAUUCAGGCUUCAGUUUCUUAUUGCCACGUGCAGACUAAUUGCCCUCAGUCAGAAUUCAGUCCUAGGAACUUGCAGCCCGCGUCUUUGAUUUGUGUGAGCUAUGGAGGUUGUAAUUGAACAGCUAGUAAACUACACAGAGCAGACGCGCCAAUAAUCAUGUCCAACCAUUGAAGUGUACUAUGAGGGGGCAGUGGAGAACUAUACAUACAGCUGAUCUUUUUUUUAAAAAAAAAAAAUUAAAAAAAAAUAUAUAUUAAUUCUAAUUUUGUAUUCCCCACUACAAAGUAAGGGUGGAUGCAGUGAUAAUACUCUAUACCCAUCGAUUUAAAAUCUUGGAUUCGUCUCUGUGUACGACCCUGGUUGUUUUUGUAAAUUUGAGAGGACAACUUUUGGGAAUUUCCCACACAAAUCCAUUAAGUGAAGAUCCAAAGAAAAGAGGAACAAGAAAGCAAGUUGUUUAGAUUAUUGAUGAUUUCAUUAUAUAACAUUAGCUCCCUAUUCCUUAAGUUUU